CGAGUUUUCUUUGCUUCACUCAUAGAUAGGCCGAAUCUGCACUGUACGUUGUUUUCAGCGUCCAACGCGGCCAAACUGCGGUUAUAAGAUCUUUGGGUCCAAUGUAAACAUUGCAAGGGGCCUAUAGAUUUAACCAUUAUGAUCACCUUUAUCAAGACUGUAAUUAUAAAUUAAUUUGAAAUAGCUUUGGCAUGUGCAAGCAUUGUAUAAAUACGUAAAACAACGUAAAACAACGAAAAAAGGAGAAUAAAGGUGGGCUGCACCACGAAAAAAAUUGGAAUGCCACAUGCAAAUAAGUAAAAUGUAUUAUGCCAUUGGUGCCAAAAUCGAUUUAUUUGUAAGCAUUUUCACUGAUUAAGACAAAGUUUAUAUAGACUGGAACCCAGUCUAGCGCAUCGUUUGUAGCUUGAACUCCCAACCUAGAGGUCAGGGGUUCGCUGUGCAAGUCGCUUGUGUCCUUGGGCAAGGCACUUUACCUAUGGUUGUCUCUCUCCACCCAGGAGUACAAGUGAGUAAGUAGUAGGUUCAAACACAACCAUGCGCUGAUUACAGCUGCAACAUUAUGGAAUUCUCCUUAGGGACAUGAGUAGGAUAUUAAAACCUAUAAUAGCAUUGAGGGACCCUUUUAAAAUUUAAGUAGGAAUUUCCGAAGUAUUGAUCGGGCCUCCAACUGCCCCAACCUGGGCCCCAGUGUUUCGCACUGGCUGCACAGCCCAUACCAAUGCCACUGCUGAUGACAAUAUUAUAUAUAGUUUACCUUGGGUUGCCAAAGAAUAGAGAGUCUAAAAGUGGGCCAUGCCACUUAAAAAAGUUUGAAAAGUAGACUUCACCUGUACCAGCAUCAUGUGUUUAUGCCUUAUCACACUAUCAAAUUUGAUGGACACUUGUGAACUGCCCAUGAGCAUGAUGUCAUAUCACAUCCAUAUAAAGGGCAUGAUAAAUGUCACAUCAUGUCCAUAUUUGCACAAUUGAUAUGUGUAUCUCCCAAAUCAAUUGUGCAAAUAUGGACAAUUGAUAUGUGUAUCUCCCAUAAGAUUGAUUGUGUGAAUAGAACGAAGGUGUUUCAAAGAAGAAUCCUCUUUAUUAAACUUCCUUUCUGUAUGUUAAAACUGAUUACAUUGGAUUGGGCUUAGUAAUGAAACUUUGAAAUCAUAUUAGGUCUAUUAGGGGGGAUUUACCGUAGAUUAUGGUUCAUUUAUUUAAUUUUUUUAAUAAUAAAAAAAAAGACUUAUUUAUUAUUAAUUUUCAAAUGUUUUGUAUUGUAGCCAACUUGUAGAAAAGGUGUCUCUAUAAUCAAAAAUGUCACCAAACUUCACAUUCCUUUCUGCUACACAUAAAGCUAAGAAUCCAUUUGUCCGGUUGCAGUUGUAGUCCUGGCUCCUGUUGCGUUUACAGUGCGUUUUAAUUGAUUCCAUCAUGUGCGUUUUUGAAGGCCCUUGAAUGGAUUCACCAUACUGUAAGGUAGGCUGAAAUCAAAACAGAUAAAUCGCCCCAUGGAGCAAUUAAAAUGAGCGCAUGCGGUUAUGAUGAUGCAACUAAUGGAAUCACUCUCGCUUAAGACAGUUAUAUUGAUUAAAACGCACUACACCGCAAACGAAGCCGCAAUCGCAACUGGACAAAUGGAUUCCUAGCUUAAUUGAGAUAAACACUGCUGAAAAAGUAUCAGGAAAAUGCAGUUUUUCAAUAUAUGUUUAUUUACAAAAAAAAAAUGCAUCAUGGUCAUUUUUAAUUUCAUACUUGCAAUUAAAAUUAAACAUGAUGAUUUUACUAAUAACCAUUUUACUAUUGUCAUAUCUGUGUCUUAAAAAUAAUUAAAUGUACAUGUACAGCAUUAUAUAUUUUUCAUCACUGGUAUGACAAGAAAUUUCAGUAUAGACCUACACGUAAUUUAGGAUAAAUUAAUAAAAAACAAAAAUAAUGAAAAUAUUCAUAAUAAACUUGCUUCACCAAAAAUCGUAUUCUUCACAAGGCAAUAUCUUGCACAAACCAACGUAUUUAAUAAUUGCUAUUAUACUAAAAGUAGUACAGCAGAGGCAGAUUUAAAAGGUCCAUGCUGGAAAAAUCAG